rnacentral:rRNA from 1 species
UACGGAGGGUGCAAGCGUUAAUCGGAAUUACUGGGCGUAAAGGGUGCGUAGGUGGUUUGGUAAGAUAUCUGUGAAAUCCCCGGGCUUAACCUGGGCAGGUCAGAUAUAACUGCUGAACUCGAGUAUAGGAGAGGGUAGUGGAAUUUCCGGUGUAGCGGUGAAAUGCGUAGAGAUCGGAAGGAACACCAGUGGCGAAGGCGGCUACCUGGCCUGAUACUGACACUGAGGCACGAAAGCGUGGGGAGCAAACAGGAUUAGAUACCCUGGUAGUCCACGCUGUAAACGAUGUCAACUAGCUGUUGGCCAUAUGAAUGUGGUUAGUGGCGAAGCUAACGCGAUAAGUUGACCGCCUGGGGAGUACGGUCGCAAGAUUA